rnacentral:lncRNA from 1 species
AUGAGAGCAAAUAAUGGACGGACAAGAUUUUAAUAUACGCAUUGGUUGUACACAUCUUGUAUGCAUUUUCAUUUUUAGAUUUCUCGUGAAUCAAUUCACAAUAGACAAAAAUGUUACGAGAAGAGAUAAAUAGACAAAAUAUAUUGGUGUUCAUAACAAUUGUAUCCACAUCCACUGUCAAAUCUAUUGUCUUCUUCCAUUAGAGAGACCAUGACUUCUGAGUUAACUUAGGAAGAACGAUUCAAGAACUCUGUUGAUACAAAGUCUCUUAAAAAAAUUGCAUCUACAUCCACACAAAAAAAUGCAGUCAAACCCUAAGAAAACAAAAAAAAAACUAUGUUGAGAAAUUCAAAAAACUUUGGAUCCGUGCAAAGAGAAGAUCUUGAGGGAACUACAGAAUGGCAGGGUUCACUAUGAACUUGAAUUUGCUUCUAUUAGUAGCCAUGGUAGCUACAAACACCCUCUCCUUCUACCACCUCUCUUCCACCACCAACUUCUUCCAAUCCAUACUUAAAUCCUCACCAUCCUCUAUCCUUCUGUCUUUGACCACCACCUCCUCCGUAGUUCCACAGAAUCUGCACCGCCAACAUCAAUCACCUCACAAAUCACCAGUCAGAAAAAUCCACUUCAACUGCUUCCACUACUCCUCUGCGUCGUAAGAUCUCUUCUUCUACUUGAAGCUCUCCCCCAUAGCUUCUGCUUGCCAUAACUACCAUGGAUGCCACCCAUUUCCUCGCCACCAUCAAUCACAUCAUAAACCACCAGCCAGAAAAAUCUUAACAAAAGGAGAUGAGGAUUUCUAAAUUGAAAUUUAAAACAAGAACAAGGGUCUCAAAAAACUGACUUUGCGUAUUAGAGAAACGAGAAAGACGUACGUUUUUUUCCCUAA